GAAAGGAAACACAACUCAUUUUUUAUUGAUAUAUGUUGGAUGAAUCCAAUAAAACCGAUACAAGUCACGAAAAAUCAGACUAGAUGAAUCCUUCGAGAUCACAUGAGCAAAAGCUUUCGACGAAAGCUGUCCUAUAGUCGUGGAAGCAAUAACACUUGAUAAAGAUAGGAAUUCAGACACGAGAGGUUGCAGACUAUAAGAUGUCAUCAAAUCUCCUUGAACGCCGCGAAGAGAUCACCGUUGAUGUAGUCGUUGUCCACAAGACUAACCAAGAAGUAGCUCUUCUGGACCU
rnacentral:sRNA from 1 species